rnacentral:rRNA from 1 species
AGAGUUUGAUCCUGGCUCAGGACGAACGCUGGCGGCGUGCCUAACACAUGCAAGUCGAGCGAGGAAUGACUGGUAGCUUGCUACCGGUUAUUUCUAGCGGCGGACGGGUGAGUAACGCGUGAGCAACCUGCCUUUAUCAGGGGGAUAACGCAUCGAAAGAUGUGCUAAUACCGCGUAAGACCACAGCCUCACAUGGGGCAGGGGUCAAAGGAGCAAUCCGGAUAAAGAUGGGCUCGCGUCCGAUUAGCUAGUUGGUGAGAUAACAGCCCACCAAGGCGACGAUCGGUAGCCGACCUGAGAGGGUGAUCGGCCACAUUGGAACUGAGAGACGGUCCAGACUCCUACGGGAGGCAGCAGUGGGGAAUAUUGGGCAAUGGGCGAAAGCCUGACCCAGCAACGCCGCGUGAGGGAAGAAGGGUUUCGGCUCGUAAACCUCUGUCCUAUGGGACGAAGGAAGUGACGGUACCAUAGGAGGAAGCCCCGGCUAACUACGUGCCAGCAGCCGCGGUAAUACGUAGGGGGCGAGCGUUGUCCGGAAUGAUUGGGCGUAAAGGGCGCGUAGGCGGCCUGCUAAGUCUGGAGUGAAAGUCCUGCUUUCAAGGUGGGAAUUGCUUUGGAUACUGGUGGGCUGGAGUGCAGGAGAGGAAAGCGGAAUUACCGGUGUAGCGGUGAAAUGCGUAGAGAUCGGGAGGAACACCAGUGGCGAAGGCGGCUUUCUGGACUGAAACUGACGCUGAGGCGCGAAAGCGUGGGGAGCAAACAGGAUUAGAUACCCUGGUAGUCCACGCCGUAAACGAUGGGUACUAGGUGUCGGGGGUAUCGAUACCCUCGGUGCCGGAGUAAACACAAUAAGUACCCCGCCUGGGGAGUACGAUCGCAAGAUUGAAACUCAAAGGAAUUGACGGGGGCCCGCACAAGCGGUGGAGCAUGUGGUUUAAUUCGACGCAACGCGAAGAACCUUACCAAGACUUGACAUCCUGCUGACGGAUUGGGUAAUGCCGAUCGUUCUACUUCGGUAGACAGCAGAGACAGGUGGUGCAUGGUUGUCGUCAGCUCGUGUCGUGAGAUGUUGGGUUAAGUCCCGCAACGAGCGCAACCCUUGUCUUUAGUUGCCAGCAUUAAGUUGGGCACUCUAAAGAGACUGCCGGUGACAAACCGGAGGAAGGUGGGGAUGACGUCAAAUCAUCAUGCCCCUUAUGUCUUGGGCUACACACGUGCUACAAUGGUCGGUACAAAGGGCAGCGAGACCGCGAGGUGGAGCGAAUCCCAAAAAGCCGAUCCCAGUUCGGAUUGCAGGCUGCAACCCGCCUGCAUGAAGUCGGAAUCGCUAGUAAUCGCAGGUCAGCAUACUGCGGUGAAUACGUUCCCGGGCCUUGUACACACCGCCCGUCACACCACGAAAGUUGGUAACACCCGAAGCCGGUGGUCUAACCGCAAGGAGGAAGCUGUCGAAGGUGGGACUAAUGAUUGGGGUGAAGUCGUAACAAGGUAGCCGUAUCGGAAGGUGCGGCUG